UAAUGGAUUAUGGAUUGUCCAAAACUUUGCAAGGCUUAAUUAUCAGUUUCUGCAGUCACUGUAUUUGAGAUUUAAAUUCUUGUAUUUGUCUUGGUAUUUGAGAGUUCCUCCACAUUCAUAAAGAUCUCCUAUCCCCUUGUAAAUUUCAUAUAAAAGUUGCUUUUAAAUUUUGGUAGAUUUAUCAAGAUUCAUACGUGUGUACUAAUAAAAAUUUAUAUUGGUCAAUAAUAAUGGCUAUGCAGAUGAUUAUUUGAUAUUUAACUUUGUUUACUUCAGUUAACGUCUGUCAAAUGAGAUCCCUAUAGCAUCAGCAACGAAGUUACCUCCUCGAAGGGCAUAACACAAAUCAACGAUCCAAUCUUUACUCGAGCUUCUUAAUCGAGUCACCAAGUCUAAGGAACACAUUCACUGGAUUUGAACCAACUGAAUCUCAUGCAGGGAAUUCAGAAAACAAGUAACCCAAACCAUACGACCAACACAAAUUCAGAAAACAAAUAAUUUGCCGAGAGCCAUCUGACCAACACAAAUUCAG
rnacentral:lncRNA from 1 species